rnacentral:tRNA from 1 species
GAGCGGUGGCGAAGGCCGCUACACCGGCUGGCUGUUCGCCGGCGGCAGGUCGGGGUUCAUCGGUUCCAGGUUGGGAUCCUCGGCCGUCCAC